GUAGGUGGCAAGCGUUGUCCGGAUUUAUUGGGCGUAAAGCGAGCGCAGGCGGUUUCUUAAGUCUGAUGUGAAAGCCUUCGGCUCAACCGAAGAAGUGCAUCGGAAACUGGGAAACUUGAGUGCAGAAGAGGACAGUGGAACUCCAUGUGUAGCGGUGAAAUGCGUAGAUAUAUGGAAGAACACCAGUGGCGAAGGCGGCUGUCUGGUCUGUAACUGACGCUGAGGCUCGAAAGCAUGGGUAGCAAACAGGAUUAGAUACCCUGGUAGUCCAUGCCGUAAACGAUGAGUGCUAGGUGUUGGAGGGUUUCCGCCCUUCAGUGCCGCAGCUAACGCAUUAAGCACUCCGCCUGGGGAGUACGACCGCAAGGUUG
rnacentral:rRNA from 1 species